rnacentral:tRNA from 1 species
GCGGGUGUGGCGGAAUUGGCAGACGCGCUAGAUUUAGGUUCUAGUGUCCAUUGGACGUAUGGGUUCAAGUCCCUUCUCCCGCA